UUCAACUGUUCACAAACGCAUCUAAUGAACAGUGCUUUCCCCAUGCUCGAUACGUCGCUGCCGAAUUCCCGCGGAUGCUUCCACGCCAAUCUCUGCUGAAAUCUCUUCAGCUUACCUUUUCCAUUUCACGCCAAUCUCUGCUGAAAUCUCUUCAGCUUAGUUGCUCCAUUUCACCACAUCUUUAACUACUCAGCUGAAAUCAACCAUGCUUCUUCUUCAUUUCUUUCCCCUUAAAAUUUUUACUGUUCUAUUUACUUUUCUUGCCAUCUUCAACCUCUUGUACCGGUUCCUUGCAAAGAUGGGAUUAUGGGUUGCAAUUAAAAGCUUCUACCAUUAACAACAAGGGCUUGGAAAUGGAUAAGCCGUAAUGUUUGGAUUGAAGACAAGGGUCAAGAACUUUGAAUGGCACAGAUAGAUUUAAAUUCACCAACCAUGCCAUUUAAAGCUUCUGCAAAGCAAGUUGAAUACAACGGUCAAGAACUUUGAAUUGUGUAGAUAGGUUAUGGAUAAUAACAAUAAAGUGAUUGCGAUUUCUUUCAAGCAUCUUCUAAAGGAUCUUGUUAUAGUCUUGGAUACGGAGGAUCCUUUUUAUGGUACUUUAGGAAAUGUUUUUACAGUUGCUUGCAUAGUUCUUUUAAGCAGGGAGGAAUGGAAAAAGGUAUUUUACAGUUGGUGAGAUGUGCCCAACCUUGCUUGAAUCUGAAGAAUCAGCAGCUCAGAAUGUUAUACAAUCUCUUGUACUAGAUUUCUCCCUAAUCAUAGAUAACAUUAGCAACUGUAAACAAGAGCGUUGUGAACAAUGCUUUGGGCUAUUUUUGAAGGCUAAGGGGAAUUGUAGUGCAUUUAGGAUCAAUGAAGUUAUGGAGAGCAAACUUGGGUUUUGCUAAGUUUGUUUCAUGGAUUGGUGUGCGCUCUCUUCGAGAGUCUAACGAAUUAGAGUGGAUCGUAGGCGAAGAUUGUUUCACUGCUAACACUGCUAUACAAUCAUUGGCUAAAAAGGUAAUUGAGUUCUGAGAACCUAUCUACCAUUUUGAGGUUAGAGAUGUGAAUUACAAAACUAUGAAGAAAUCUAGGUCUUUCUCUUUAUUACAAAGGACGCUUUAUUGAAGGGGAGGUUCAACAAGGGGAGCAAACAACUUACCAAUGUGUCACUCCUACUUCAACAACCUCACACAUCCUUUUUCCAAUUGUAUUACCUACACCUCCAAAGAAACGCAAAGUCACCACAAAAUGGUCAAUUUGUGCAACUGUCUUUGGAUCUACUUGAGGUGUUUAAACAUACAUAAUGAGCAUGCUUUAGUGUUUGCUUAUGUUUGCUUCUUAGAAGCAACAAUUAAUUAGAUGUGUUUUGGUGUUUGCCUAUGUUAUUAAGGAAUGUAUGGAGGUGAUCAUCUUUUGUAAACAACUUUAAUAGUUCACAUUCAAAGGUGAUCAUCUUUUGUAAACAACUUUAAUAGUUCACAUUCAAUAUAAUGUACUCCUCCUUUUUUAUGGCUAAAUUCUAUGCUUUUGUAAUGGAUCAUCCUUAUUAAUCUAACAAUGGUUCCUACUUUUAUGAACAGCUUAUUUACUUUGUAAGGUUAAAUGUAGCUCCUAAAGAUUUGAUUCUUUACCUUUCUUUUUGUCACGUGUUAGACUAAUGUAAUAGUUUAAGUAUAUGAUUCAAUAGUUAUUACAUACACCGUUGCUAUGAUCGUUGUGCUGCUAAUGUGUGUUGUGCUACUGGUUGGUCUUGUCGAAUGUAUUGAAAUGUGCAGUUUAUGCCUUGGUAUUACUACUGUUUAUGCACUUUGUACCUUGAUACAUAAUAUGGAUGUAGUUUGUAACGUUAAAUGUACCUUGCAACAAUCGUCACCUUAUACUGGCUGCCCUUCGAUGCUGGUUGAUUGGCUGCAUUUUUGUUAUUAUGUUCAGUUUUAGCUAUCUUUUUUCCUUCAAUAUUUUAUUGUUUUGAAUUCAUUUAUUUGAAUGUGAUGAUUCAUUGUUAGAAUUAAUUAGUCAAUUAACUUAAGCAUCUAAAAAAAACGAGUAGUAGUGUUUACGUGUAUGAUUCGAUAUCUAAGUUAAAUAAUUAAGCUGCAUAGAUGAUUUUAUUCGUUAUCAUCAAAUCUUAAACUAAAUUUAGUUACGGGACAAAAAACCUUUAGCUCAGUUUGAACCUGUGUUGGUUCCUGCACCGUCAUCACAGUCCUCCUCUUCCACUUCCGCAUCUGCAAAACGACAACGCAAAGGUCUUAGUAACUUUUUAGUAUAUUAUGUUUGUUUCAAAACUCUUAUAUGCAGUAGCUCUUAUUAAGUACUGUUAACAAUGUUCCUUUUAUGUA